GACAUUGAAAGACUAGUGUUAUUCAUCUUUAAUAGGUUUAAAGGGUACUUAGACGGUAUUUCCAGCCAAAAAAGGUACGGAUUUACUAGAGUUUUAUGUGAGAAGGUGAGUAUUUUAGGUGUAGAGAUGAAAUUUUUUUAAUACCUUAAGGACUGAUAACAGCGAAAGCAACCUUCUAUGUAAUAACUGACGUUGAGGGACGAAGGCUUGGGUAGCAAACAGGGAUUAGAAACCUC
rnacentral:rRNA from 1 species